UACGAAGGGGGCUAGCGUUGCUCGGAAUGACUGGGCGUAAAGGGCGCGUAGGCGGAUGGCACAGUCAGAUGUGAAAUUCCCGGGCUUAACCUGGGGGCUGCAUUUGAUACGUGUGAUCUAGAGUGAGGAAGAGGGUCGUGGAAUUCCCAGUGUAGAGGUGAAAUUCGUAGAUAUCGGGAGGAACACCGAUGGCGAAGGCAGAUCUCUGGGCCGUAACUGACGCUGAGGAGCGAAAGCAUGGGGAGCGAACAGG
rnacentral:rRNA from 1 species